rnacentral:rRNA from 1 species
UCGAGCGGACAGAUGGGAGCUUGCUCCCUGAUGUUAGCGGCGGACGGGUGAGUAACACGUGGGUAACCUGCCUGUAAGACUGGGAUAACUCCGGGAAACCGGGGCUAAUACCGGAUGGUUGUUUGAACCGCAUGGUUCAAACAUAAAAGGUGGCUUCGGCUACCACUUACAGAUGGACCCGCGGCGCAUUAGCUAGUUGGUGAGGUAACGGCUCACCAAGGCGACGAUGCGUAGCCGACCUGAGAGGGUGAUCGGCCACACUGGGACUGAGACACGGCCCAGACUCCUACGGGAGGCAGCAGUAGGGAAUCUUCCGCAAUGGACGAAAGUCUGACGGAGCAACGCCGCGUGAGUGAUGAAGGUUUUCGGAUCGUAAAGCUCUGUUGUUAGGGAAGAACAAGUACCGUUCGAAUAGGGCGGUACCUUGACGGUACCUAACCAGAAAGCCACGGCUAACUACGUGCCAGCAGCCGCGGUAAUACGUAGGUGGCAAGCGUUGUCCGGAAUUAUUGGGCGUAAAGGGCUCGCAGGCGGUUUCUUAAGUCUGAUGUGAAAGCCCCCGGCUCAACCGGGGAGGGUCAUUGGAAACUGGGGAACUUGAGUGCAGAAGAGGAGAGUGGAAUUCCACGUGUAGCGGUGAAAUGCGUAGAGAUGUGGAGGAACACCAGUGGCGAAAGCGACUCUCUGGUCUGUAACUGACGCUGAGGAGCGAAAGCGUGGGGAGCGAACAGGAUUAGAUACCCUGGUAGUCCACGCCGUAACGAUGAGUGCUAAGUGUUAGGGGUUUCCGCCCCUUAGUGCUGCAGCUAACGCAUUAAGCACUCCGCCUGGGGAGUACGGUCGCAAGACUGAAACUCAAGGAAUUGACGGGGGCCCGCACAAGCGGUGGAGCAUGUGUUUAAUUCGAAGCAACGCGAGAACCUUACCAGUCUGAC